rnacentral:rRNA from 1 species
UACGUAGGGGGCAAGCGUUGUUCGGAUUUACUGGGCGUAAAGGGCGCGUAGGCGGCGCGUAAAGUCGGACAUGAGAUCAUUGGGCUUAACCCAAUGGCUGUGCCCGAUACUUGCGUGCUUAGGGUGCGGGAGAGGCAAUCGGAAUUCUCGGUGUAGCGGUGAAAUGCGUAGAUAUCGAGAGGAACUCCAGUGGCGAAGGUGGGUUGCUGGACCGACACUGACGCUGAGGCGCGAAAGCUAGGGGAGCAAACGGG